GGCCGGGCCCGGUGCAAGGGCAUCGCCGUGAACCUGGUCAGGGCUUGACCGCAGCAGCCAUAAGCGGAUGGUGUUCGGUGCUGCCGGUGUCCUGGCCGUC
rnacentral:SRP_RNA from 1 species